GUGCUUGCUUCAGCAGCACAUAUCCUAAAAGUGGAACAAUACAGAGAAGAUUAGCAUAGCCCCUGCCCAAGGAUCACACGCAAAUUUGUAAAGAGUUCAACAUUUUU
ensembl:snRNA U6 U6 spliceosomal RNA